rnacentral:sRNA from 1 species
UCGGCAGCGGCGCCGGGCGGAGGGGGAGAGCGCGGGCCGCGCGGGCGGGAAGCGAAGAGGCGGGCGGGCCAGCGAGGAGCGCGGAGAGAAAAGGCGCGAGCGGCCAGGAGGGCUCAGGCCGAGACACCUUGCAGCUGCCGCCGCCGCCACCGAGCCGCCGCUGUGCUCACUGAUCCGCCUCCAGGGCCACCGCCAUGUCGAGCCGCGGUGGGAAGAAGAAGUCCACCAAGACGUCCAGGUCUGCCAAAGCAGGAGUCAUCUUUCCCGUGGGGCGGAUGCUGCGGUACAUCAAGAAAGGCCACCCCAAGUACAGGAUUGGAGUGGGGGCACCCGUGUACAUGGCCGCCGUCCUGGAAUACCUGACAGCGGAGAUUCUGGAGCUGGCUGGCAAUGCAGCGAGAGACAACAAGAAGGGACGGGUCACACCCCGGCACAUCCUGCUGGCUGUGGCCAAUGAUGAAGAGCUGAAUCAGCUGCUAAAAGGAGUCACCAUAGCCAGUGGGGGUGUGUUACCCAACAUCCACCCCGAGUUGCUAGCGAAGAAGCGGGGAUCCAAAGGAAAGUUGGAAGCCAUCAUCACACCACCCCCAGCCAAAAAGGCCAAGUCUCCAUCCCAGAAGAAGCCUGUAUCUAAAAAAGCAGGAGGCAAGAAAGGGGCCCGGAAAUCCAAGAAGAAGCAGGGUGAAGUCAGUAAGGCAGCCAGCGCCGACAGCACAACCGAGGGCACACCUGCCGACGGCUUCACAGUCCUCUCCACCAAGAGCCUCUUCCUUGGCCAGAAGGAAACACGCUGGAGAAGAAAGGUGGCAAGGAGUUUGUGGAAGCUGUCCUGGAACUCCGGAAAAAGAACGGGCCCUUGGAAGUAGCUGGAGCUGCUGUCAGCGCAGGCCAUGGCCUGCCUGCCAAGUUUGUGAUCCACUGUAAUAGUCCAGUUUGGGGUGCAGACAAGUGUGAAGAACUUCUGGAAAAGACAGUGAAAAACUGCUUGGCCCUGGCUGAUGAUAAGAAGCUGAAAUCCAUUGCAUUUCCAUCCAUCGGCAGCGGCAGGAACGGUUUUCCAAAGCAGACAGCAGCUCAGCUGAUUCUGAAGGCCAUCUCCAGUUACUUCGUGUCCACAAUGUCCUCUUCCAUCAAAACGGUGUACUUCGUGCUUUUUGACAGCGAGAGUAUAGGCAUCUAUGUGCAGGAAAUGGCCAAGCUGGACGCCAACUAGGCUGAGCAACGACAGAACCAGCUGCACCAUGUACCCCACCUUCAGUUUAAAAGAAAAAAAAAAUCCCCUUCACUCCUACUGGGAGGUGGGACCCCUUUCAUUUUCAGUUUUGCUCAUCUAGGGAAAAUAAGGCUUUGGUUUCCAGUUUAAUUGUUUUUGACCUUCUAAAAUGUUUUUAUGUUAGCACUGAUAGUUGGCAUUACUGUUGUUAAGCACUGUGUUCCAGACCGUGUCUGACUUAGUGUAACCUAGGAGAUUUUAUAGUUUUAUUUUAAUGAAACCCUGAUUGACGCACAGCAGUGGGGAGAACAGCAUCUUUUACCUGUCACCGAAGCCAGGAAGCCCCGUUUGUAAGCGUGUGUUGUGGUGCUUUAUCGUACAUCCAGUGGCGUUCUUUUUACUCUAAUGUUCUUUUUGUUUCCCCCCUCAGAAGAAUCAUGACUUUGCAACAGACCUAAUUUUUGGUUACUUUUUGUCUUAUUGAUGGAUUUGCAAAUGAAAGAUUUAAUAAGGCAAAGCAGAAUCUGUUGUCCUUAAUUAUAUUUGCAAUUUGGAA